rnacentral:lncRNA from 1 species
CGGGAGUAUUUUAAGUAUUUCAGCUUCUCAGAGAGAGGUAUGAAUUUCUUCGUCUUUCAUUGUUAGAACGAAGAAACGAAUUCACGUCUUCUCUGGCCUAACUCUGGUAAUAUUUUGCUUGAAAAAAAUUGUCUUGUACGUUGUAUCAUUAAACGUUUACUGCAAUCGCGUAUUGUUGGUCGCCAAGCUUGAGAUUCAAGCCGGUGCAUUGCAAGUAUAAUGGCGAUUUGAAAUGGAUUUGUCUUUGAUUUGAUUUUGUGGAAUCGAAGAGUUGGACUACUCUGGUUUCUUCCACCGCUUGAUUUGCUACGUGUAAUUCUUAGCUUACUAGGGAUUUAAAUCUAAUGUAUUUGAACACUAAUUCUCAUUGUGCUAAAAUGUGUGUUUUUGGUUAUCUGGAAGCUAAUACAGGGGUCUUGCUAGUUACAAAACUUCUCUCUCUUUCCCUACACAUCUCUUGUACAUCCUGUUCAAGUGAAAAAUUUAUGUACAAAUUCACUCAUGACUGAAGUCUGUAGUGAUUUUAACUUCUUAAUAAACAGUAUAUCUCAGUUAUAUGUAGAAUUUGUUUUGUUAUUCUGAGUUAUAAAUAAUUUUUUUUGGCUACUAACAAUCUAGCAGUGCCGUUCUUGGAACCCUUAUCAAAAUUGUAAAGGCCUGGCAAGGGAGCCAUACUGGGGCAGACAUAAGGAAGGAACACAGAAGCUUGUGUCCAAGUCUUUAAGAUUAUUUUAAGAUUGUCUUUGUCAAUAAGAAUGGUGGCUGCUGCUGUGAAAAAUCAGCUUACUGUUCGUUUUUGUGAAAGAUUGAAAAUUCCUCAAGAGUCAGAAGAUACAAGAGUUCUUUUGUGUCUUGUUUGGAGGUUUUGAAGCUACACUAACAUAUUUUACAUUUGAAAACUCAAUAUUCUAAACCAUAAUUUCAAGUAAUAUCUUAUAAUCAUGUGCGAAAUUCAUGACCCUGUUUGGACCAUUGUGAUAGUUGAGUGCUAAGUUUAUCCUCUUGGCUGUUUUCUUGCUUGCUAGAACUUAAGAGUGAUCGCAAUUGUAUGACUUUUGCAAAGAAUAAUAAGAUAAUAUAACUUGUUAAAUACUUAAUUAGUUGGGUGAUUAAAUAUGUUAAAAACUAAACUGAUAGAAAACUGCCGCACUUUAUUAUUUAUAUUUUUAAUAUAUCCCCAUGCAUGUAAGUGAGACAACAGAUUUAGUAUGUGAACACAAACUCAAAUUGACGAGUCGAAUAAGCACAUAUAUAACAGGUUUUGGGUAGAGUCACAAACGAGUCUGAAAUUUAUUUCUCUACUCCAUUGUUAUGUUAGAUAAUUGAUUGCCUCAUUAAUUAUUUUAAAGUUUUAAGUUAAUAGAAAAAGACUUUAACUUUAUUGUUUAUGUUCUAAUAGACAUAAUAACCAGUUAGAAUAUUACUGUUUGCGAUAUUUCAGAAUAGAUAGUCUAUUUACUAAGUCCUCCAUGGAAUUUUACUGUUCUCUUCAUUGUGCUUGUUGAUGUGAAAAUUUCAAUGGAUGAAAUAUUUCUUAACAUGUGUCAUCUGUCCAUAGAAUUAUAGUUUCAAUCUCAAAUGAGUACAUGGUGCUGGACAUUUUUCUUUCCUUCACUUGAUUUUACUCCAUGCAUAUUAAGGCAUGAGUAGUGAUAACUGCUGAUAAAUUUCAAAUUAUAUAUCCAAUUGGCAAUAAGUCGCUCAAAUCUUAUUCUUUCUGGUCCUUAUCCUCAGCAAUAAAAUCUCAGUGCAUGUCUCAUUAGAAGUUAGCUCCUAAAAAGUUGUUCAAUGUGUCAUAUGAGUCCCCGGGAAAGAGGGGUCCAAGAUAAAAAAUUGAUUUUGAGGGAUCUGAACGCUCGUGUUAAGUGUCCGAUAUUCAUUUGAUGAAAUAUUGGAAGAUCAAUUCCAUGUUGACCCUUGUUAGCUAUUGUAUCUUCUCAACUUCUGAUUUGUUUUCAAAUCAAUAGUUCUUCUGCAAUGCUGUAAUUGGUACUUGAAAAAUGGACUGUAGUACUAAUAUUUUGAUCAAAUCAACUCUAUUCUCACUCUUUCUAGAUUCUAAUUCUUUUUUUUUUAGUUAUAUAAAAUAAUAAUAGACAUUUCAUGUAUAAUUAAAUUAAUUUCUCUUCUAUCAUAAAUUUCAGAAUCAUAUAUUUUUUAUUCUCACUUGUUAAGGAAAAAAUUAUACAGAAUAUCUAAUUUUAAUUGGAUAUAGAACUAUCUAGGAAUUGCACUGUUGUUUUUGUUCAAAUUUCUAUCAUGCUUCAAGUGUAUUUCAGGGAUCCAUGUUCUGUGAAUACCACAAGAUAGCUUUUAACCAGUGCAGUGCGGCAGUCUGGCUACUGUCAUUAGUCAGCUCCAUUUAUCAUAUUCUGCAUGUGAGUAAUAUAAUAUAACAUUCCCCUUUGGGUGAAAUUUCGUUUGACAUGAAUAGAUAGUGGAUUUGCCCUCAGCUUCCAUUGGUUCAAUGGUAUGUGGAUGAAAAAUACUUUGUUUAAUGUGUGGUUUCUAUAUUUUCCAAUGCAGGAUGCAUGUUUUGAAUUUAUGGCAUCUUCCUUGUCAUUGGUGGUAAUUACCUUUAUUAUUCAAGAUUUUUGUGUGGUCAGUGUUGCAUUUUACGGGAUUAAUUUUGUUAAUGGGUACUUUUUGACACAGUAUUUCUUAUAGGAAUUAGUAUUUUUCAGUAUGAUAUUAUAUUGAUAUCGUGAAGCAGGUGGACAGAGCAUUGUUAUUAGAAUUGGUGAUUUCUGAAUAAAUAAGAAGCAAAGAAAAGCUUCUGUUAGUUGACCAAGCUGAUUGGGUGGGGGCGGCAGCCGCCCGUUCAUUACUGGUUGAUUGGUUAUAACUUUUGAGACUGUUGACUUGUUUCUUACAUUGUUGACUGAGCUGCGAUUUUAUGGAGUUAAGGAAUUCUUCCAUUUCCUGAAAUUUUAACUGAAUCGUGAUUUGAAUCCUUUUUUAAUGGAUGAGGAGGUGUAAAAAAUGAAACAAGUCAUAAUUUCUUUUACUUAUAAAAAUUUACAACUAAUCCUAGAAUUCUUUUGACCUAUGCUAAUCUUUGCAGCACAGUGAUGAACACCAGGUAGCAUGAAGUAGAACUAGUAAGAUGUAUUUACUCAACUAAUUAAUUCACCUAUAGUCGCGUAUCAAACCUUCAGGUUGUAGUGGUGCUAUGUGCAAAAUAGUCUCUGCUGCUGGUUGAGGUGGUGGUUGCGAUGUGGUAACCUUGCUACAACCAACAAUCUUCUGGCAGGUCUGGAGGAGGCAGUUUCUGCAGGUAGGGCAGGAGGAAUGCGAGUUUAGCCACUUAUCAAUGCAGCGGACGUGGAAUCCAUGGUUACACUUGGGCAGAAGCCUCAAGUGCUCGCCGGAUGCAAACUCAGAGAGGCAAAUGGCACACUUGUUGUCCAGCUUCACUCUGCUGAGUAGUUUACAGUUGGGAAAGUCUUUAAAGCCUUUUUCUUGAUCCCAGUGUUGGCUAAACGAGCUGAGGGGUUGCCACUCGUCUCAGAAGCCACUAAGCUUGAACAUCUUAAUGCACACUUUAUGAUGGAGUUAAGUCCCAGGGAGCAAAUUAGAGCACAAAGGAGGACUGAGAGAACCAUAACAACAUUAGCGUCAAAGCCAUUGCUGGCACCAUAGGGAUCAGAUGGGUCAUGGCUGUUACUGGGGGGAGGAGCUGCUGCUGUUGGUAGAUGCUGAAGGUUUUGUGGUAGUAAUCUUCGGGAGUAAAAUACUGGAUGUUGGAAUAGUUGAGUGGAUAUAGAAGAGGAAGCAGACAUGGUUUAGAGAGUUUUGAUAGUUGAGAUAACUUCUUGCUGCUUGCUGCAUAAGAGGGAUGACAUAAAUAUAUAGGGUUGAAGUUUCUUCUAUCGAGCAUUAUGUUAUAUUAUAUUAUAUAUAUAAAUAUUAUAAAAAGAUUAUUCACAUGUGAAAUGUAGUUAAGAGAAUAUGCGAAGGUUUUUUUUUUAGCCCCACAUACAGGUUUAAUCUUUUGAUUUUAUUUUUGCAGGUUUUGGAAUCAUACGGACACAUUCCACUGAGCUUUACAUAUUUUAAUUGGCGUCCCAGUGAGGAUUGGUGGCUUGUGUGAAAGUGACACGUGGUGGCUAUCUUGGCAAAUUGCAUCUGUAAAUGCUGCUGGGGACCCAGUGGCCUGAGAAGCAGCCAUGAAGGUUCCGAUAAUACGUUUGUGGAGAUGUAAUUUUAGAGGGAUGGGCAUCUCUUUUGAUCUCUUCUUUUUCUAAAUUUUUUGUUUUCAUAUAUGCAGCUUAAAGUGAUAGACAUGCCAGAUCUUUUUUGAGUCAGACUCAACUCAACGUGAUUUUCCCUGUGAGUUAUUGCUCUUUCAUUUCAUGUUAGUGCUUGCAACUUCUAGUCCGUUUUCAGCUUGUUCAAUUUUCUGUUGCAUGACAAGUUAUUGCAGGGUCCCAUAUAAAGGAACGAGAUUGAUUGGUACUACUCGUAUAUAUAAAUGUUUUUGAUAUAAUUUUUGUUCCAACUAAAUUAGAAUGUUCCCACUAAUUUUAAUUAAAGUUUAUUAAUAAUAACUUCAAUAAUUAAAAAGGAAAUUAGCUAACACCAAUUAAUCUUGAAAAACUGUAAGCCACUUUGGUUUUAAGCCUAUCUGUCAUUCUCAGUUACUAUUAACUCUCAUAUUCGUAUCUUUAGUACACAAUACAACACAGCCAUCUGCAGCUGCCUGCUCCUUUUCAUUUUUGAACCUGUCAAUGACCGUGAAAUUAACAUUAAAGAAAGCCAUUUCCCUCUCCCUUUUAGAUCUCUUAUUUUGUUUUCUUUGCACGCCGUGAUCUUUUCCUGAUUGCAAAUCUAAGUAUAAUCCAAAUAAAUUAAUUAAUAUGCUCCUCUCCUUCUGCCUCCAAAUUAACUAAUUUUCUUUUCCAGAUAGUUUGUUGUUUAAUUGGAAUCUUUUUGCUUUUAUGAAAAAUCAUAAGGGUACUCUUUUUUUAAUGAAAUAUCAAGUGGGUGCUUUUUUUCUUUCUUUUUUUUAAAUAUUAAAUGGGUUCUUCAUGGUAAUGUGGAAAGAAUUACGAGGUUGAUUUCUUGAUCUACUUUUGUGUCCUGUAGUUUUGCCUUCAAAACCCACCUGUACAACAUGUACAAAAAGUUGAGACAGCAAGUUCAUAAUAAUAUAGGUACUGUUUUUAUUUUCAGAGAAUUAAUUAAGUUUAAUAAGAUCUCAGAGGGAGUUUGCUCCUUUUUUUUUUUUAAAAAAAAAAAAUUAUAAAAUUAAAAAAAUGCUUCACUUUAUGGUUUUGCGCUAAGUGUCGGUUGAAAUUUGUAUCUUCUUGGUAAGCUGGAUUUCACUAUAUAAUUGUUGUGUCUUUAUAUGCUGAUCUGGGAUAAAUAAAGAAUAUUCCUUGUUGUAGAAUAUCAUACAAAUAUGAAUGUCGUGCAUGUGCGAUACUCCCAUUGAGGUUGUUGUUCAUCACUUAAAUUUACUUAUGAUUAUAUUCUCAUGAUUAAGGACUUAGAAAAUUGGAAGGAUAGAGCACUAUAAAAGCAAUCUAUUCCUACUUUAGAUAUUUACGCUGUUUAAUUUCAUUUCCAUUUUAUUUCUAGUAAUUUUUGAUUAUAAAUUAUAUCAAAUAUGUAUAGCUUUUACUAAAUUAAAUAUUAGUAUUUACUGUACAGAACAUGUAUUCUCAAAAGAGCCGCAAGUGAAACAAUAUUCUUCAUAUGUAUUAUUAUCAACACUAUUUUUUUUUUUUUUAAUUUUUAUUGUCCUUCAAAGUUCUACUUAUCGAGAGUGUGAGUUAUUAUUGAAUCCUGCUCGCACAUUAAAAGAGAGAGAGAAAAGAAAAACCUUUUGCUCCCAUUAUGAAAUCCACGCUGCCUCCUUUAGAACAAAAGAAAAAGAAUGAUAAGGGUACAUCACCACCAAUUCUCCAUUGUACAUCAUUACAGUGCUCGAGAUGAAAAUAACUGAAAGCUGUAACUCAAGAGACAUGGGAGUGCAUUAUGAGAAUUAGCAAAAAGGUUGAAUAUCUGCUUCACAAGAACAUUAUGAAAUGCUUUUUAGAGGUAGUGAAAAAUAAUUGAAAGAAACUUUAUGAAAAGCAAAUUUCCUUACAUAAUAAAAGCUUUUUAUGGAUAACUUGUCCAAACAUAUGGUGAAAAAUGUGCUUAUAUCUGUGUGGAAAUCCUGCAGAAAAUGUGGAAGCAGCAUCUUUUCUCUGGAUAAAGAAGCAUAUUGGUGUACACUGGCAGGUAGCUAAUGACUCUGAAUUGUUUAACAUUAAGGUUUAAACAGACAGAAAGAAGUUUUAGGAAAAGUAAUGAUGAGAAGUUAGUAAAGAGAGAAAUUCUUAUCAAAUUAGUAUUGAUGGAUGGUGGGAGUUGUAAAGUGGUCAGGGUAAAGAUAUACCUAAAACACAAAGGCUAGAUACAUAGCAUAUAACAGCAAUAAAGAUCAGUAGCUGAAACUUUUGUGUGACGUGAAAUAGGCUUGCUCUCAAUUAUUGUAACCAAUUGUUGAUAUCCAAAAGAAUACAAAGGAAAAGAAUAUAGGACAACAGAAAGUAGCUUUUCUAGUGUACUGCUUCACAUCAUUGCUGCAUGUUACUUGAUCCGGAUUGGAGUUUUCUACAAGCAGCCUAAAGGGUUAGCAUUUACUAUUGCUCCUUGUUUGGAUAUAUUAACAAAGUUCAUUUUUUUUUGGGUGAUGAGGAAUCUUCUUCCGUUCUUUUGAUGUUAAAACACAAUCUUGAUUUUUGAGGUGCCUUCUUUAAUUCUCCAUUGAACAUUGAAGUUCAAACACCUAUCAAAAGUAUUAUUAAUAUGUGACUUGUAUAGUAUAUCUUGGACUAUCACAAUCUUCAUCUCUUAAACUUUGAUGUUCUGAUCAAGCAAUUCCUAUAAGAUCCAAGAUCUUUAGUGCUACAAGUUGUAAUGCUUGCUUCCAAUAAUUACUGAUUUAAUAACUUUUUAAAUUCAAAUAACUGAUUUUCAGAAAGUAAAAUUUAAACUAUCAGUAGUGUAUGAUUUGAACAUAUAUAUGAAGUUCAAUAAUAACAUAUAUUUCUGAUGUGAGAUUAGGGUACCUCAGGAAUUUUGUCAAACAUCCUUCAAUUACUUUUGAUACUGAUUUUUACAAAGACAAAAGAUAUACAAGGGUUUCAUCCAUCUUUUUUGUUUUCCGUGCCUUGUCAACAAUAUUAAUCUAGCUAAGGAAAGGUUCAUAAUUGAUUGAAGUAUUUUGUCUGCAUAGCAAUUUCAAGUACUGCUCAUGGAUGGAGCAUUGGAAUUUUGUAUUUGAAUAAUACAUACCUUUUAGUAAUGGUCUCCUCAAGCAUUAGUCUUCCCAGGAAAUUCUAGACACUAAUUAUGAUAUUGGGCGGCUCAACUUUUUUGAUCCAACUAAUUACAUAGUUUUGUUUAAUGGAUUUCCAAUAGAAAUUCAAAGUCAAAUGAGACAUAAAUAAAUUCAUUUUCCAACUUUGUUGGCAAGUCAGGUGGUGCUAUUCGAAGGAACUAUAGGGAGAGAAUAUAAAAUUAUAGUGCAUGUUAGCAAAGAAGCAACCUGAACUGGAGUUGAAAGUGCAAUAAAUGGAAACAGAGGAUAAGUGGAGACCCGAGGUCAUUGCACUUAGUAUGAAAUUAGUUAAAAUAAUCAUUAUAUUGUGGCUAAACAUUGCAUGUAACUUUAUUAUACAUGGAUCCGCAUAAUGGAGAGGUAGGAUAAGUUACGAAUUUUUGACAAGUAAUGAAGCAAUUCCUCCAAAGCAAAAAUUUUUAUAAUCCCCUGAAUUAGUUUUGCUACACACACACACCUUCAGAAAAUCUUUUCUUCUUUGUUUGUAGAAGUUUAUCUAAUCUAUGAGUUACAUGAGUGGAGAUAUUUCUGUAUUCUAUAGAAGCCUUUUUUAACAGAGCAUAUAAAGUUAACACCGAGUGGAGAUAUUCUGUAUAAUCUGGGCUUCGAGUGAUAAGUUGAGCUUAGCCCCGUCUUUGUAUCCAAACCCCAGUAUUCUUCCUUUAGCUUGAUUUUCCUUUAUAAACGUAUGUAUUGGAUGUUUUUGUUGACUUAAAAUAGUGCAAAAUAUAUAAGCAUUCAAAUUUCUUACCUUUAACUUUUAGACCUUGUGACCGUACUGUUCUCUAGAGAUAAACGUUCCGCAUUCUAAAUCUGAAGAUUGUUUAUUUUUCCAACCUCUUGGUUUAUGCUUAUUCUGAUAAGAGGAAAGCACGCACUUAUAUUUGUAUCUUAAAUGUUCAAUCUUCUUGAAGGUGUGACAUAUACAGAAAAAAUUAAGCUUGAAAGUAUGGUUAAUUUUCUCAUAAUAUCUGAAAAGUAACAGUCCUUCCAAAUUUUAUUGGCUCGGAAAUAUCUGAACCAUUUAGAUUUUUCUUUAAAAGGGUUCUCUAGAUAUUCCACAUUCAAGAGCUGCUUCAUUGAAAUGUCUUUUUCUAAUUCCUUGGUUGCAACGUGUUCAAAGUUGAUCUGUGUGCGUGUGUGUGCCGGGUCUUUUUCUUGACUGCACAAUGUCAGAUUUAGGAUUUUGUGCACCAAUUAAGAAUCACAUUCAAGUGGAGCAAAAGAGAAUAAGCCCUUGAUCAAGUCAAACAACAACUUAUAGCAGUGCCUCAGUAGGAGACCACUGCUGUGUGGCAGUUACUUUUCAUGCUUGUAUUAAUCAAGUUAAAAAGCAAGAGAAUUACCCUUGAAACUCAUCUGGGUUGAGGUUUAUAUUUGAUCGACGUACUAUCUAAUAGGGUCAAAGGUAGAAUAUACGGUAAGGUGAUACCAUAUUAGAUUUUAUCAUAAAAUCUAAAAGUUAGAUUUGGUUCUUUAAGAAUAAAUAAAUUGCCCCUGGAGCAAAACAAAAGCAUGUCAAUCCUACCUGUAAGCCACAAUUUUCUGAUACAAACCAAUAAGCUUAGGCUUAAAGAGGUGCUUUUUAAAUUAAUUAAUCUCAUUUUAAGCUACUCAAAUGAAGCCUUUAUUUCCACCCUAUCAAUAAGCAGCCAAUAGAAAUAGACAAACAGUAAAAAAAAAAAGGAAAAGGUAUAUGGUCCCCCUUGUGAAUCAUUCUUUUCAUCAAACCAGGCUGUGUUCUUUCUGCCAAGCAAAUAUUCAAGAUAAUCCAUCUGCUGUACAUACAUACUUAGCUUUUGCUUGUGGUUCCUAAUUAAAGCAGCAUUAUAUAUUUGAUCAAGUGACAUCAAAGUAUCAACUCACUGAUUUUCACAAGUAAUUAAGAGUUAAAAAGAUAGAUAUCAAUCUUUUUGGAUUCUAACUAAAGUUACUACUAAAGUACUAAUUGGCUUCUGAGAACUAAUACAUCGGAUAAAGAUUUGGAGAAAGCAUUGAAAAAGAAGAAUUUGUCAUCAAAUUAAGCAACUGGGUCUGCAUGCAUGUUUUAAAAAAAUCCAGCACUGCUAAAUUUGUCUUAUAUAUUUAUUUAUAAUUGCAAGAGAUUAGACAAGUUAUGCUUAAUUGAUGGUUUGAUCCUUAUCCUUUUGACUAAAGAAUGUUUCCUACAACUGUGUAAUGAGAAUAUGCUAUAGGAAAUUAUGAAAUCCACUUAUGAAAAAUCUUGCUGUAGAUAUUCAUUUAUGUCGAUAAGGUGUUGUGGUUUAAAUUUUAUUGUAUGGUAAAUUUUCAUAGAAAAUUUAUGGUUAGUAUAAUUUGGAUUAUCUAUGGAAAAGAUGUUUAGAAGAUUUGCAUGAAUUAUGAAGUGACAACACUCGGCUAAGGACAUUAAAGAGAGUGAAGAAAAUAAACAAAGCCUAAAUAGCCAUUCCACUCAUAGAACAGGGGAUGCUCACUGUUUGCUACCUAAUUUCUUUUUCAGUCUUAUUUUGGUAUAAAAAUUAUAUUUAAUCCCUGUUUUUUAAUUGUGGGUUUAUUUCGAUAGUUACUUCAAAAUAAUAUCAUACCCUGUUAAGACCUGUCUUAGUUUUACAUUUAUUAGUUAAAAUUUAUACAUCGGAAUAACUAACUAUAUAACUUUCUGCAGAAUUAGUAUCAAUACAAUCAAUUUUUUAAUAAAGAAACAACACAGUUAUAUAUAUAUAUAUAUAAAACAUACAGUUAAACUCGAACCCUUUUAACUGUUACUUAGAUAUUAUUUUACCUCUCUUGUAAUAGUAGACCCAAAUGAUCGAACUAAGUAAUUGUUUUCUGAAAAGUGUGAUUAAUUAACUUAGUGAUACAAUAUGACCUUUAAGACAUGUUGGAUAAAAUUGAGAAAACCAAUAAUUAAGCUUUGAUAUUUACAUAGACUAUACAUAUGUUAGUGGAUUAGAAUUUGAUAAUCAAGAAUGAAUUAUCAUUGAAAAUUUAAUUAUAUUUCCUAUUUUUCUAUACACUUGCAGUUUCCCAUCUCUUCAGCAGUCAACAAAUCAAACACCUCAAAACUCUUGACUAAAUUUUCUGUGUUGCCACUCCCCAAUCUCUCCUGCUCCACCG